rnacentral:piRNA from 1 species
UGAAAUGAAGGCAUCAUGAGGUUGG